rnacentral:rRNA from 1 species
CACGUAGGGGGCAAGCGUUGUCCGGAUUUAUUGGGCGUAAAGAGCUCGUAGGCGGCUCAGUAAGUCGGGUGUGAAACCUCCAGGCUCAACCUGGAGACGCCACCCGAUACUGCUGUGGCUUGAGUCCGGUAGGGGAGCGUGGAAUUCCUGGUGUAGCGGUGAAAUGCGUAGAGAUCAGGAAGAACAUCGGUGGCGAAGGCGCUCUGCUGGACCAUAACUGACACUCAGGGACGAAAGCUAGGGGAGCGAACUGG